rnacentral:rRNA from 1 species
GGACUACCAGGGUAUCUAAUCCUGUUUGCUCCCCACGCUUUCGCGCCUCAGCGUCAGUUUUGAGCCAGAAAGUCGCCUUCGCCACGAGUGUUCUUUCCGAUCUCUACGCAUUUCACCGCUACACCGGAAAUUCCACUUCCCUCUCUCAAACUCUAGCUAGACCGUUUCCCAUGCCAUUCCCAGGUUAAGCCCAGGUCUUUCACAUCAGACUAAUCUAACCGCCUACGCGCCCUUUACGCCCAGUCACUCCGAUUAACGCUUGCACCCUCUGUAUUACCGCGGCUGCUGGCAC